CUUAAAAUAUUUUGCUCCCUCUUUCAAAAUAUAAUUUGGUAAAUGCACGGUAGAUAUUACAUAAAAAAUCAGUCCAUUUCCAGCUACAAUAGUAAUUUACAACAUUAAAAAUGUAUACACUGUACUUCUGAUAAAUUUGAUGUUAUUUUAAUGGACAAAAAAAUGUGCUUUUCUUUUAAAAACAAGGACAUUUCUAAGUGACCCCAAACUUUUGAACGGUAGUGUAUAAAAAAAACAGAAAUACCUAAUUUACGUAAGUAUUCAGACAUUUUGCUUAUGAGACUCGAAAUUGAGCUCAGGUGCAUCCUGUUUCCAUUGAACAUCCUUGAAAUGUUUCUACAACUUGGUGUCCACCUGUGCUAAAUUCAAUUGAUUGAACAUGUUUUGGAAACGCACACACCUGUCUACAGUUGACAGUGCAUGUCAGGGCCAAAACGAAGCCAUGAGGUCAUAUGAAUUUUCGGUAGCGCUCCAAGACAGGAUUGUGUUGAGGCACAAAUUGGGGAAGGUAUCAAAGCAUUCUUUGCAGCAUUGAAGGUCCCCAAGAACACAGUGGCCUCCAUCAUUCUGAAAUGGAAGAAGUUUGGAACAAGGGUUUUUCUUUAUUGUUGACUAUUUUCUACAUUGUAGAAUAUUAUUUCUCUCUUUUUGUAGAGAAAAACGAAUUUUGAUUGGCUGGGCCUGUUGCCAGUCAUAUAAAAUCCACAGAUUAGGGCUAAUGAAUUCAUUUCAAUUGAUUGAUUUACUUAUAUGAACUGCAACUCAGAACCGUUAAUUGUUGCAUGUUGCGUUUAUUAUAAAAUAAUUCCAAUCCCCGAAGGCAAAUGCAGUUUAGCGAUGUAAAAGGACUGACUUUAGGACCAUGUAGAUACCUGGGAGCGGGAGGGAAGGCUGUUUGUAUGCCGGCGGGCGGACUGGCUUUAUGGAUAUCUCAUCGAAACAGCAUUACUUUUUCUCCAAGCAGUGCAGAGGUAAAAUGGCUGUAGUAGAUGGCUUUGAGUAUGUAGGGUAACUGCUAGUUUAGUCAAAUCAAACCGUUUUAAUCCCGGUGCUGAGCUAGUUAAUUAUUUAAUGACAUGAGUUUGUGGAAUAUUAAGUAGGUGACUAUUAGACUAUUUUAGAACCCAGAGAGUGAAAUACUUACCUCCAACAUAUAGCGCAGCAUUGUCGAACAGUCAGAAUGUUUAAUUUCGUUUUACUUUACAUGUUGUCAGCUGAUUUGUCUCCAUUUCGGAGGUAAUCAGAGACAAAAUAUCCACAGGAAAGUGUUAUCAACCCGACCUUCAGUACGCUGGUCUGUUUUAUUGGUUUGCAAUUCGCACUGUGACAAACACUUGCAAGAUAUGGCUGAGCCUACAGAACCACCGACUGAAAGUUGGCCCAUGCAAUCAGCAGGCAUACUUAUUUCAGACUGAAUAUUAUAUGGUAACAGUCUGAUUGUCACGACUUCCGCCGAAGUCGGUCCCUCUCCUUGUUCGGCUGUCGACGUUACCGACCUUCUGCCAUCACUGAUCCAUUGGUCUUGUCUUCCUUCACACCUGGUUCCAAUCCCAUCAAUUACAUGUUGUGUAUUUAACCCUCUGUUCCCCCUCAUGUCCUUGUCGGAGACUUAUUAUUGUGUGUUAUGUGCAAGUCAUGUGUCGAUGUGUGACACGUUUUGUACCCACUUAUUUUUGUAUAUUUUGGUUUUUGGAGUUUUAUUAGCACUUAUUAAACGACACCGUUUAUACCAA